rnacentral:rRNA from 1 species
UACAGAGACUGCAAGCGUUAUUCGGAUUCACUGGGCGUAAAGGGUGCGCAGGCGCCAUGUGUGUCAGGUGUGAAAGCCCGAGGCUCAACCUCGGAAUUGCGCCUGAAACUACCAUGGCUAGAGUACUGGAGAGGGUAGCGGAAUUCAUGGUGUAGCAGUGAAAUGCGUAGAUAUCAUGAGGAACACCAGAGGCGAAGGCGGCUACCUGGACAGUUACUGACGCUCAGGCACGAAAGCGUGGGGAGCAAAAGGG